CUCGUGAGCUACACCUGUGCCACGGACAGUCCUCGCGUAAAGGGAACCUCCGUGCUGGGCCAGGAUCUUCAGGGUCUCCAGUUGACCCUUGGCUGCUGCGCAAAGGGCAGGGCUGAAAUGUGUUAAAUGGUCCUUGAGAAUACUUACGUUCUACCCUUUCGAUCCUGUCGAUUGGGAUCAGCCCCUAGUUUCAGAAUUAGAGCCGUGGCGUCAGCGUGCCCAAGAGUGGCUGCAUAAUGCAGAGCCGAGCAACCAUUAUCGUCCACGUGGUCUGGGUGAGCACCGCAUAGGUUCACCAAAGCUUCCACGCACCUGGCGUGGAUGGAAGGAUAAAGAUGCAAAAGACGCAAAAAUACGCACCUGGCGUGGCCUCUGGAAGCGGCGCAGUGAAGAGCUGUGAGACCAUCCUUGUCCGCAGCUCCAGCGGCAGCUGAACCACCGGCUCUGUAUUUUAAUUAUUGCUCUUAGAAUCGGAAAUUCUUUCGACAGACAUUUUCAAACUUGUACUAUAUACUGUACUAUG